rnacentral:rRNA from 1 species
UGGGGAAUAUUGGACAAUGGGCGAAAGCCUGAUCCAGCCAUGCCGCGUGUGUGAAGAAGGUCUUCGGAUUGUAAAGCACUUUAAGUUGGGAGGAAGGGCAUUAACCUAAUACGUUAGUGUUUUGACGUUACCGACAGAAUAAGCACCGGCUAACUCUGUGCCAGCAGCCGCGGUAAUACAGAGGGUGCAAGCGUUAAUCGGAAUUACUGGGCGUAAAGCGCGCGUAGGUGGUUUGUUAAGUUGGAUGUGAAAUCCCCGGGCUCAACCUGGGAACUGCAUUCAAAACUGACUGACUAGAGUAUGGUAGAGGGUGGUGGAAUUUCCUGUGUAGCGGUGAAAUGCGUAGAUAUAG